UUGUCCGGAUUUAUUGGGCGUAAAGAGCUCGUAGGCGGUUCGGUAAGUCGGGUGUGAAAACUCUGGGCUCAACCCAGAGCCGCCACCCGAUACUGCUGUGACUCGAGUGCGGUAGGGGAGCGGGGAAUUCCUGGUGUAGCGGUGAAAUGCGCAGAUAUCAGGAGGAACACCAGUGGCGAAGGCGCCGCUCUGGGCCGUGACUGACGCUGAGGAGCGAAAGCGUGGGUAGCAAACAGG
rnacentral:rRNA from 1 species